AUUGAACGCUGGCGGCAGGCCUAACACAUGCAAGUCGAACGGUAACAGGAAGAAGCUUGCUUCUUUGCUGACGAGUGACGGACGGGUGAGGAAUGUCUGGGAAACUGCCUGAUGGAGGGGGAUAACUACUGGAAACGGUAGCUAAUACCGCAUAACGUCGCAAGACCAAAGAGGGGGACCUUCGGGCCGCUUGCCAUCGGAUGUGCCCAGAUGGGAUUAGCUAGUAGGUGGGGUAACGGCUCACCUAGGCGACGGUCCCUAGCUGGUCUGAGAGGAUGACCAGCCACACUGGAACUGAGACACGGUCCAGACUCCUACGGGAGGCAGCAGUGGGGAAUAUUGCACAAUGGGCGCAAGCCUGAUGCAGCCAUGCCGCGUGUAUGAAGAAGGCCUUCGGGUUGUAAAGUACUUUCAGCGGGGAGGAAGGGAGUAAAGUUAAUACCUUCGCUCAUUGACGUUACCCGCAGAAGAAGCACCGGCUAACUCCGUG
rnacentral:rRNA from 1 species